GAUGAACGCUGGCGGCGUGCCUAAUACAUGCAAGUCGAGCGAACAGACGAGGAGCUUGCUCCUCUGACGUUAGCGGCGGACGGGUGAGUAACACGUGGAUCACCUACCUAUAAUACUGGGAUAACUUCGGGAAACCGGAGCUAAUACCGGAUCAUAUAUUGAACCGCAUGGUUCAAUAGUGAAAGACGGUUUUGCUGUCACUUUUAGAUGGUUCCGCGCCGCAUUAGCUAGUUGGUAAGGUAACGGCUUACCAAGGCAACGAUGCGUAGCCGACCUGAGAGGGUGAUCGGCCACACUGGAACUGAGACACGGUCCAGACUCCUACGGGAGGCAGCAGUAGGGAAUAUUCCGCAAUGGGCGAAAGCCUGACGGAGCAACGCCGCGUGAGUGAUGAAGGUCUUCGGAUCGUAAAACUCUGUUAUUAGGGAAGAACAAAUGUGUAAGUAACUAUGCACGUCUUGACGGUACCUAAUCAGAAAGCCACGGCUAACUACGUG
rnacentral:rRNA from 1 species